rnacentral:rRNA from 1 species
UGGGGAAUUUUGGACAAUGGGGGCAACCCUGAUCCAGCCAUGCCGCGUGCGGGAAGAAGGCCUUCGGGUUGUAAACCGCUUUCGGCCGGAACGAAAUCGCCGGGGAGAACAUCCCCGGUGGAUGACGGUACCGGAAGAAGAAGCACCGGCUAACUACGUGCCAGCAGCCGCGGUAAUACGUAGGGUGCGAGCGUUAAUCGGAAUUACUGGGCGUAAAGCGUGCGCAGGCGGUUCGCUAAGACAGAUGUGAAAUCCCCGGGCUUAACCUGGGAACUGCGUUUGUGACUGGCGGGCUGGAGUGCGGAAGAGGGAGGUGGAAUUCCACGUGUAGCAGUGAAAUGCGUAGAGAUGUGGAGGAACACCGAUGGCGAAGGCAGCCUCCUGGUCUAGCACUGACGCUCAUGCACGAAAGCGUGGGGAGCAAACAGG